rnacentral:rRNA from 1 species
AUUUCGCCGGAGGAUGAGCUCGCGUCUGAUUAGCUUGUUGGUGGGGUAAUGGCCUACCAAGGCGACGAUCAGUAGCUGGUCUGAGAGGAUGAUCAGCCACACUGGGACUGAGACACGGCCCAGACUCCUACGGGAGGCAGCAGUGGGGAAUAUUGCGCAAUGGACGAAAGUCUGACGCAGCAACGCCGCGUGAGUGAAGAAGGUCUUCGGAUUGUAAAGCUCUGUUAAGAUAGAAAGAAUAGCCUUCGGGUUUGACGGUACUAUCUCAGGAAGCACCGGCUAACUCCGUGCCAGCAGCCGCGGUAAUACGGAGGGUGCAAGCGUUGUUCGGAAUUAUUGGGCGUAAAGCGUGCGUAGGCGGACUGUUAAGUCUGGUGUGAAAUCCCUCGGCUCAACCGAGGACGUGCAUUGGAUACUGGCAGUCUUGAGUCCUGGAGAGGAGAGCGGAAUUCCUAGUGUAGAGGUGAAAUUCGUAGAUAUUAGGAGGAACACCAGUGGCGAAAGCGGCUCUCUGGACGGUGACUGACGCUGAGGCACGAAAGCAUAGGUAGCAAACAGGAUUAGAUACCCUGGUAGUC